rnacentral:lncRNA from 1 species
AUGAGUCAUGUUUUAGCAUAUAAAUAGAGUGAGAUAGGAGUAACCAAACAUAGCAAGCAAAGAGGAAAUAUUGACCGAUGAAACCCCAGCACAUAGAGCUGAUGUAAGUUAGGCACAGAAACUCAGUACGAACAGAUUCGAGGCGAGAUAGUCACAGAAACUCAAACAAGCAACGAUCUAUCAUGCUAAUACACAGAAUCAAACGAAGAAAUAG